rnacentral:rRNA from 1 species
CCUACGAGUGGCAGCAGUGAGGAAUAUUGGUCAAUGGGCGAGAGCCUGAACCAGCCAAGUCGCGUGAGGGAGUACUGCCCUAUGGGUUGUAAACCUCUUUUGUCGGGGAGCAAAAGCCUGACGUGUCCGGCUGUGAGAGUACCCGCAGAAAAAGCAUCGGCUAACUCCGUGCCAGCAGCCGCGGUAAUACGGAGGAUGUGGGCGUUAUCAGGAUUUAUUGGGUUUAAAGGGAGCGUAGGUGGAUUUUUAAGGCAGUUGUGAAAGUUUGCGGCUUAAACGUAAAAUUGCAGUUGAAACUGGCAGUCUUGAGUAGAGUAGAGGUGUGCGGAAUUCGUGGUGUAGCGGUGAAAUGCUUAGAUAUCACGAAGAACUCCGAUUGCGAAGGCAGCUCACUGGACUGCAACUGACACUGAGGCUCGAAAGUGUGGGUAUCAAACAGGAUUAGAUACCCGUGUAGUC